rnacentral:rRNA from 1 species
AUUGAACGCUGGCGGCAGGCCUAACACAUGCAAGUCGAACGAGUGGCGGACGGGUGAGUAAUGUCUGGGAAACUGCCCGAUGGAGGGGGAUAACUACUGGAAACGGUAGCUAAUACCGCAUACCAUCGGAUGAGCCCAUAUGGGAUUAGCUAGGAGGUGGGGUAAAGGCUCACCUAGGCGACGAUCCAUAGCUGGUCUGAGGGGAUGACCGGCCACCCUGGAACUGGGCAACGGCCCAGACUCCUACGGGAGGCAGCAGUGGGGAAUAUUGGACAAGGGGCGCAAGCCUGAUGCAGCCAUGCCGCGUGUAUGAAGAAGGCCUUCGGGUUGUAAAGUACUUUCAGCGAGGAGGCGUUACUCGCAGAAGAAGCACCGGCUAACUCCGUGCCAGCCGCCGCGGUAAUUC